CGGGCCCGGAGGCGGCGGGGGAAGCACGGAGCGGGGGAGCAGAGCGCAGGGCAGGGGGCAGCCCCCGCCGGUACCAGGGCGGGCCCCCUGAGCCCCCUGUAGCCCAUACCGGCCCUUCGCCUUGACCUUCGAGCACAACAUGCAUCUCAGUGCAGCUGGACAGCACACAGUGAUUCAAAGCACAGUGAGUGAAGUGGAAAAGAAAAUCAGUCCCUCAGGAAUGCUGUGAUGUACAGUGCCACACAGCCUGGAGAUAUUUUUGUCCAGCAGGCUCAGAUAAAUACACAAGAAGCAGAGGUUAAACAUAUCUCCUCCUCACGCCGGUGGCACGCAAGACCUCUGCAGCAGGAUCGCUGUCAGGUUCGCUUUGCGCGCACAGAUCCUUGCGGAGCCACACGUUCACAGCAGAGGCCGCCGCCGUGCCCGUGCUCCUGGAGAGGGAAGGACCAGACUGGGGCUGGCCCCGAACGCCCUCUCACGGUGACAGUCACAGCCCGUGACAGUCACAGCGCAGAGCCGGCCGGGGAAGCCGCAUCGCGAACAGCGAGGCAAGAAACUCGCCCCUCACCGCGCUCCGAAGCGAGCGGCGCGCCGCGAACCCCCGCUGCCUGACAGAGCCCAGUGCCCUUCCAAAACUCUGAUUCAUUUCAGAGUUCUGCCUCCGAAUUUAGUGGCCAUGCGAAGAGACCUGCACAACGUUUCAUUUCCCAGCAGACUGAUUUCCUGCUUAGCUAAUCUCAAAAGCCAGUACUGUUUUCCCCCGCUAAAGAGACUGUUUUGUUUAUUUGAGUGAAUUAUUUGACUUACUAAAUAAUACCCUUGUCCUGGCAACAUUAUCAUGUAGUAUUUUGUUUUAUCUAUUAACUGUUGGAUCACAAUACGCUUUGUUGUAUUCCCACCGCCAGAGGACUGAAUCUCUUUAGCAACAAAUUAAAUCUAGAUAGCGCAAGCAGUUCCUCUAACAAUAUUUCUUUGUGCUUAAGAAAAUACAAUAAAGUAUUUCUUAAAAGGUCA